rnacentral:rRNA from 1 species
AUUGAACGCUGGCGGCAGGCCUAACACAUGCAAGUCGAACGAGUGGCGGACGGGUGAGUAAUGUCUGGGAAACUGCCUGAUGGAGGGGGAUAACUACUGGAAACGGUAGCUAAUACCGCAUACCAUCGGAUGUGCCCAGAUGGGAUUAGCUAGUAGGUGGGGUAAAGGCUCACCUCGGCGACGAUCCCUAGCUGGUCUGAGAGGAUGACCAGCCACACUGGAACUGAGCUACGUUCCAGACUCCUACGGGCGGCAGCCGUGGUGCAUUGUGCACAAUUGUCGCAAGCCUGAUGCAGCCAUGCCGCGUGUAUGAAGAAGGCCUUCGGGUUGUAAAGUACUUUCAGCGGGGAGGCGUUAGCCGCAGAAGAAGCACCGGCUAACUCCGUGCCAGCAGCCGCGGUAAUUC